GAGCCGCGUUUGUUUUGAUGGCUCGUGGUGCCGCGCCUCGCGCUUUCCGCAGUCGCUGCCGUUAGAUUCCCGACCGUGGAAUCGUGUCUCAUCCCAAGCGGGGUUCCAACGCUGACGGUGGAUAAGGGAGACCUGCUGCCCAAAGCAUCGGGAGAGGGAGAGGUUGGGGAAAAGGGACUGCGUUACAACCGACGGCGCGACUCCGCUGUCGCUCUUGCCGUAGUUUACUGCAGUGUUUGUUGUUCAACCCCAGCAGUGACGGUUCAAGCCUCCUCCAUCGUGUUAACAAGAGGCUAUUUUAUCCGCUUUACAGGCAGGAAGUAAUUCACAGUGCAACAGUGGAAAACCUCUUUACAGCCAGGACCCAAUAGCACUGGAGAAACAAUCUCUGAAGAACUCCAGAGUUCCCUGAAAUUGAAAUAAUCUGAGAACCCGUUCCCUGAGGGAACGGAAAAUGCUUACCCACUUCAUCCAGAGGACUACCUGUAAGAAGAGGAGGGGAAAUACUGUGUCCCCCUUUCCUGUAAAGCAACAACAGACAUAUUUUUCUUUUUUAGUGAUUAAAUUAGGGAAUGUUCUAAUUUUAUCCUUUGAUCUAGCAAUCAAUGUUAUUUGAAGAUAGUUCAAACCUGA